GAUGAACGCUGGCGGCGUGCCUAAUACAUGCAAGUCGAGCGAACACAUGAGGAGCUUGCUCCUCUGACGUUAGCGGCGGACGGGUGAGUAACACGUGGAUAACCUACCUAUAAGACUGGGAUAACUUCGGGAAACCGGAGCUACUACCGGAUAAUAUAUUGAACCGCAUGGUUCAAUAGUUAAAGACGCUUUUGCUUUCACUUAUAGAUGACUCCGCGCCGCAUUAGCUAGUUGUUAAGGUAACGGCUUAACAAGGCAACGAUGCGUAGACGACCUGAGCGGGUUGUCGGCCACCCUGGAAGUGAGACAGGGUACAGACUCCUACGGGAGGCAGCAGUAGGGAAUCUUCCGCAAUGGGCGAAAGCGUGACGGAGCAACGCCGGGGGAGGGAUGAAGGUGUUCGGAUCGGAAAACUCUGUUAUUAGGAAAGAAGAAAUGUGUAAGUAACUAUGAACAUAUUGACGGUACCUAAUGAGAAAGCCACGGCUAACUACGUG
rnacentral:rRNA from 1 species